CAGUCGCCGCGGUAAUACGUAGGGUGCGAGCGUUAAUCGGAAUUACUGGGCGUAAAGCGUGCGCAGGCGGUUGUGUAAGACAGGUGUGAAAUCCCCGGGCUUAACCUGGGAACUGCGCUUGUGACUGCACAGCUAGAGUAUGGCAGAGGGGGGUGGAAUUCCACGUGUAGCAGUGAAUGCGUAGAGAUGUGGAGGAACACCGAUGGCGAAGGCAGCCCCCUGGGCCAAUACUGACGCUCAUGCACGAAAGCGUGGGGAGCAAACAGGAUUAGAUACCCCCGUAGUCCCUGUCUCUUAUACC
rnacentral:rRNA from 1 species